rnacentral:rRNA from 1 species
UGACGGUAGUAAACGAAUAAGCCACGGCUAACUACGUGCCAGCAGCCGCGGUAAUACGUAGGUGGCGAGCGUUGUCCGGAAUUAUUGGGCGUAAAGAGCAUGUAGGCGGUUUUUUAAGUCUGGAGUGAAAAUGCGGGGCUCAACCCCGUAUGGCUCUGGAUACUGGAAGACUUGAGUGCAGGAGGGGAAAGCGGAAUUCCUAGUGUAGCGGUGAAAUGCGUAGAUAUUAGGAGGAACACCAGCGGCGAAGGCGGCUUUCUGGACUGUAACUGACACUGAGGCACGAAAGCGUGGGGAGCAAACAGGAUUAGAUACCCUGGUAGUCCACGCCGUAAACGAUGAGCACUAGAUGUUGGUCCCGAAGGGAUCAGUGUCGCAGUUAACGCAAUAAGUGCUCCGCCUGGGGAGUACGCUCGCAAGAGUAAAACUCAAAGGAAUUGACGGGGACCCGCACAAGCAGCGGAGCAUGUGGUUUAAUUCGAAGCAACGCGAAGAACCUUACCAGGGCUUGACAUCCCGAUGACCGUUCCUUAACCGGAACUUCUCUACGGAGCAUCGGUGACAGGUGGUGCAUGGUUGUCGUCAGCUCGUGUCGUGAGAUGUUGGGUUAAGUCCCGCAACGAGCGCAACCCUUGUCGUCAGUUACUAACAUUCAGUUGAGGACUCUGGCGAGACUGCCGAGGUUAACUCGGAGGAAGGUGGGGAUGACGUCAAAUCAUCAUGCCCCUUAUGUUCUGGGCUACACACGUGCUACAAUGGUCGGUACAAUGAGAGGCAAACCUGUGAGGGGGAGCAAAUCACCAAAACCGAUCCCAGUUCGGAUUGUAGGCUGAAACUCGCCUACAUGAAGUUGGAGUUGCUAGUAAUCGCAGAUCAGAAUGCUGCGGUGAAUGCGUUCCCGGGUCUUGUACACACCGCCCGUCA